rnacentral:rRNA from 1 species
AACGAACGCUGGCGGCGCGUUUUAAGCAUGCAAGUCGAGCGAUGAAGCACCUUCGGGUGUGAAUUAGCGGCGAACGGGUGAGGAACACGUGAGAAAUCUGCCUUCAACUCUGGGAUAACUCCGUGAAAACGGGGCUAAUACCGGAUAUGAGCCUUGAUCGCAUGAUCGGGGCUGGAAAGUUUUUCGGUUGAAGAUGAUCUCGCGGCCUAUCAGCUUGUUGGUGAGGUAAUGGCUCACCAAGGCGACGAUCCCUAGCUGGUCUGAGAGGAUGAUCAGCCACACUGGAACUGAGACACGGUCCAGACUCCUACGGGAGGCAGCAGUGGGGAAUAUUGCACAAUGGGCGCAAGCCUGAUGCAGCAACGCCGCGUGAGGGACGAAGGCCUUCGGGUUGUAAACCUCUUUAGUAGGUAAGAAGCGAAAGUGACGGUACCUGCAGAAAAAGCACCGGCUAACUACGUG